rnacentral:rRNA from 1 species
UACAGAGGUCCCAAGCGUUGUUCGGAUUCAUUGGGCGUAAAGGGUGCGUAGGUGGCGCCGUAAGUGGGGGUGUGAAAUUUCGGAGCUUAACUCCGAAACUGCAUUCCAUACUGCGGUGCUUGAGGACUGGAGAGGAGACUGGAAUUCAUGGUGUAGCAGUGAAAUGCGUAGAGAUCAUGAGGAAGACCAGUGGCGAAGGCGGGUCUCUGGACAGUUCCUGACACUGAGGAGCGAAAGCCAGGGGAGCAAACGGG